rnacentral:misc_RNA from 1 species
AAUAAAUUAGAUUAGCCCACACCAUUGUUACCAUACUUGAUAUAUUUCCGACAUCUCCUUCUAACCCCUAAAAGAAUAAGCAACUUUACAUCCAAGCAUGUAGGUAGCCUCCAUGGAGGGCUGAAAAAAAGUCGAUCACCUCUGAAAGCUGGAUAACUGGUCGCAGCACCUCUAGCACUAGCAAGUUUCUCAAGUAUUCUCGGAUAAGCCUCGCUAAGGUGUCACCUCGAAGGGGGUUCUGAUGCCUGCACGCUCAAAUUGGGAUUCGACGAACUUGACAGGAGGUUACCGUUGUCCUGAGGAGGCGAUACCCCCCACUUUGGUUCAGCUUCUGACGGUUCAACCACAUGGAUCGCACCAUCGCUCAUCCCCA